rnacentral:rRNA from 1 species
GAUCAUGGCUCAGGAUGAACGCUAGCUAUAGGCUUAACACAUGCAAGUCGAGGGGAAACGACAUCGAAAGCUUGCUUUUGAUGGGCGUCGACCGGCGCACGGGUGAGUAACGCGUAUCCAACCUGCCCAUCACUUGGGGAUAACCUUGCGAAAGUAAGACUAAUACCCAAUGACAUCCCACGAAGACAUCUGAAUGGGAUUAAAGAUUUAUCGGUGAUGGAUGGGGAUGCGU